CAGCGACUUACCUAGCUUUCUAUGGGUUUUUACGACCAAACGAGUUCACCACCAAUAGUGGUUUGUGUCAAAAUCAACCCCUCAAAAUUACAAAUCUCCAGAAACACACAGAUCACUACAUACUCACCCUAGGUCACACUAAAACCAAUCAAAUAGGCCCACCUACCAAGAUCUGCUACUAUCCCACCGGCAAUCAGUGGUGCCCCGUUGUAGUAUUUGACAC